GUCCUCGUAGCUCAGCUGGAUAGAGCUCACGCCUUCUAAGCGUGUGGUCAAGAGUUCGAAUCUCUUCGAGGACG
rnacentral:tRNA from 2 species